rnacentral:sRNA from 1 species
GCAAGAUGGCGAUUCCGGGCAGGCAGUAUGGGCUUAUUUUGCCAAAGAAAACACAGCAGUUGCACCCUGUUUUGCAAAAACCAUCAGUGUUUGGGAAUGAUUCUGAUGAUGAUGAUGAGAUGAAGUCUUGCUCUGUUGCCCAGGCUGGAGAGCAGUGGCACGAUCUCGGCUUACUGCAACCUCCACCUCCUGGGUUCAACAGUUCUCCUGUCUCAGCCUCCUGAGUAGCUAGGAUUACAGGCAGGCACCACCACGCCUGACUAAUUUUUGUAUUUUUAGUAGAGAUGGGGUUUCACCAUGUUGGUCAGGCUGGUCUCGAACUCCUGACCUUGUGAUCUGCCUGCCUUGGCCUCCCAAAGUGCUGGGAUUACAGGUGUGAGCCAUCGCACCUGGCCAAUAUGUGGUUUUAUG